rfam:Antarctobacter heliothermus strain SMS3 plasmid pSMS3-1, complete sequence.
CGUUGGCAUGAGAGCGCAGUUUGACCUAGUGCUUAAGUGUAGGGGAACACGGAAGCCGGUGAGAAUCCGGAACGGUCGCGCCACUGUGAUCGCGCAUGCGUAAGUCAGACACGGGUCCCCGGGAAUACUCAUGA